rnacentral:rRNA from 1 species
AAGCGCCGGUAAGGUGAUAUGAACCGUUAUAACCGGCGAUACCCGAAUGGGGAAACCCAGUGUGACUCGUCACACUAUCAUUAACUGAAUCCAUAGGUUAAUGAGGCGAACCGGGGGAACUGAAACAUCUAAGUACCCCGAGGAAAAGAAAUCAACCGAGAUUCCCCCAGUAGCGGCGAGCGAACGGGGAGGAGCCCAGAGCCUGAAUCAGCAUGUGUGUUAGUGGAAGCGUCUGGAAAGGCGCGCGAUACAGGGUGACAGCCCCGUACACAAAAGCGCAUGUGCUGUGAGCUCGAUGAGUAGGGCGGGACACGUGGUAUCCUGUCUGAAUAUGGGGGGACCAUCCUCCAAGGCUAAAUACUCCUGACUGACCGAUAGUGAACCAGUACCGUGAGGGAAAGGCGAAAAGAACCCCGGCGAGGGGAGUGAAAAAGAACCUGAAACCGUGUACGUACAAGCAGUGGGAGCACAGGUUUACCUGUGUGACUGCGUACCUUUUGUAUAAUGGGUCAGCGACUUAUAUUCUGUAGCAAGGUUAACCGAAUAGGGGAGCCGGAGGGAAACCGAGUCUUAAUUGGGCGUUAAGUUGCAGGGUAUAGACCCGAAACCCGGUGAUCUAGCCAUGGGCAGGUUGAAGGUUGGGUAACACUCACUGGAGGACCGAACCGACUAAUGUUGAAAAAUUAGCGGAUGACCUGUGGCUGGGGGUGAAAGGCCAAUCAAACCGGGAGAUAGCUGGUUCUCCCCGAAAGCUAUUUAGGUAGCGCCUCGUGAAUUCAUCUCCGGGGGUAGAGCACUGUUUCGGCUAGGGGGCCAUCCCGGCUUACCAACCCGAUGCAAACUGCGAAUACCGGAGAAUGUUAUCACGGGAGACACACGGCGGGUGCUAACGUCCGUCGUGAAGAGGGAAACAACCCAGACCGCCAGCUAAGGUCCCAAAGUCAUGGUUAAGUGGGAAACGAUGUGGGAAGGCCCAGACAGCCAGGAUGUUGGCUUAGAAGCAGCCAUCAUUUAAAGAAAGCGUAAUAGCUCACUGGUCGAGUCGGCCUGCGCGGAAGAUGUAACGGGGCUAAACCAUGCACCGAAGCUGCGGCAGCGAACGUAUCACUUAAAGCGAUUCAGCGGGUUACGAUUGACGGAGCGAAGCGACGUCAAAGCGUAUACAAAGUCGAGUCGGUUUAAGGAUACGUUCGUUGGGUAGGGGAGCGUUCUGUAAGCCUGUGAAGGUGUGUCGUGAGGCAUGCUGGAGGUAUCAGAAGUGCGAAUGCUGACAUAAGUAACGAUAAAGCGGGUGAAAAGCCCGCUCGCCGGAAGACCAAGGGUUCCUGUCCAACGUUAAUCGGGGCAGGGUGAGUCGACCCCUAAGGCGAGGCCGAAAGGCGUAGUCGAUGGGAAACGGGUUAAUAUUCCCGUACUUGGUGUUACUGCGAAGGGGGGACGGAGAAGGCUAUGUUGGCCGGGCGACGGUUGUCCCGGUUUAAGCGUGUAGGUGUGUGUUCCAGGUAAAUCCGGUUCACUUUAACACUGAGGCGUGAUGACGAGGCACUACGGUGCUGAAGCAACAAAUGCCCUGCUUCCAGGAAAAGCCUCUAAGCAUCAGGUAACAUCAAAUCGUACCCCAAACCGACACAGGUGGUCAGGUAGAGAAUACCAAGGCGCUUGAGAGAACUCGGGUGAAGGAACUAGGCAAAAUGGUGCCGUAACU